rnacentral:rRNA from 1 species
UACGUAGGGUGCAAGCGUUAAUCGGAAUUACUGGGCGUAAAGCGUGCGCAGGCGGUGAUGUAAGACAGUUGUGAAAUCCCCGGGUUCAACCUGGGAACUGCAUCUGUGACUGCAUCGCUGGAGUGCGGCAGAGGGGGAUGGAAUUCCGCGUGUAGCAGUGAAAUGCGUAGAUAUGCGGAGGAACACCGAUGGCGAAGGCAAUCCCCUGGGCCUGCACUGACGCUCAUGCACGAAAGCGUGGGGAGCAAACAGG